rnacentral:rRNA from 1 species
CCUACGGGAGGCAGCAGUAGGGAAUCUUCCACAAUGGGCGAAAGCCUGAUGGAGCAACGCCGCGUGGGUGAAGAAGGUCUUCGGAUCGUAAAACCCUGUUGUUAGAGAAGAAAGUGCGUGAGAGUAACUGUUCACGUUUCGACGAUAUCUAACCAGAAAGCCACGGCUAACUACGUGCCUGCGGCCGCGGUAAUACGUAGGUGGCAAGCGUUAUCCGGAUUUAUUGGGCGUAAAGGGAACGCAGGCGGUCUUUUAAGUCUGAUGUGAAAGCCUUCGUCUUAACCGGAGUAGUGCAUUGGAAACUGGGAGACUUGAGUGCAGAAGAGGAGAGUGGAACUCCAUGUGUAGCGGUGAAAUGCGUAGAUAGAUGGAAGAACACCAGUGGCGAAAGCGGCUCUCUGGUCUGUAACUGACGCUGAGGUUCGAAAGCGUGGGUAGCAAACAGGAUUAGAUACCCCAGUAGUC